GACGAACGCUGGCGGCGUGCCUAAUACAUGCAAGUCGAGCGCUGAAGGUUGGUUCUUGUACCAAUUGGAUGAGCAGCGAACGGGUGAGUAACGCGUGGGGAAUCUGCCUUUGAGCGGGGGACAACAUUUGGAAACGAAUGCUAAUACCGCAUAAAAACUUUAAACACAAGUUUCAAGUUUGAAAGAUGCAAUUGCAUCACUCAAAGAUGAUCCCGGGUUGGAUUAGCUAGUUGGUGAGGUAAAGGCUCACCAAGGCGAUGAUACAUAGCUGACCUGAGAGGAUGAUCGGCCACAUUGGAACUGAGAAACGGCCCAGACUCUUCCGGGAGGCAGAAGAGGGGAACUUUGGCCAAUGGGGGAAAUCCUGCCGGAGCACGGCCGCGUGGGUGAAGAAGGUUUCCGGAUGGUAAACCCCUUUGGUUGGGGAGGAAGUUGGGUAAGGUGGAAAGCUCAUCAAGUGACGGUAACUACCCAGAAAGGGACGGCUAACUACGUG
rnacentral:rRNA from 1 species